AUUGAACGCUGGCGGCAUGCUUUACACAUGCAAGUCGAACGGCAGCACGGGCUUCGGCCUGGUGGCGAGUGGCGAACGGGUGAGUAAUAUAUCGGAACGUACCCAGAAGUGGGGGAUAACGUAGCGAAAGUUACGCUAAUACCGCAUACGAUCUAUGGAUGAAAGCAGGGGACCGCAAGGCCUUGUGCUCCUGGAGCGGCCGAUAUCUGAUUAGCUAGUUGGUGAGGUAAAGGCUCACCAAGGCGACGAUCAGUAGCUGGUCUGAGAGGACGACCAGCCACACUGGAACUGGGACACGGUCCAGACUCCUACGGGAGGCAGCAGUGGGGAAUUUUGGACAAUGGGCGCAAGCCUGAUCCAGCAAUGCCGCGUGAGUGAAGAAGGCCUUCGGGUUGUAAAGCUCUUUUGUCAGGGAAGAAACGGUAGAGGCUAAUAUCCUUUGCUAAUGACGGUACCUGAAGAAUAAGCACCGGCUAACUACGUG
rnacentral:rRNA from 1 species